GAUGAAGAACGUAGCGAAAUGCGAUAAGUAAUGUGAAUUGCAGAAUCCAGUGAAUCAUCGAAUCUUUGAACGCACAUUGCGCCCGCCAGCAUUCUGGCGGGCAUGCCUGUUCGAGCGUCAUUUCAACCCUCGACCUCCCUUUGGGGAAGUCGGCGUUGGGGACCGGCAGCACACCGCCGGCCCUGAAAUGGAGUGGCGGCCCGUCCGCGGCGACCUCUGCGUAGUAAUCCAACUCGCAACGGAACCCCGACGCGGCCACGCCGUAAACCACCCAACUUCUGAACGUUGACCUCGAAUCAGGUAGGACUACCCGCUGAACUUAAGCAUAUCAAUAAGCGGAGGA
rnacentral:misc_RNA from 1 species